GGCUACCACAUCCAAGGAAGGCAGCAGGCGCGCAAAUUACCCAAUCCCGACACGGGGAGGUAGUGACAAUAAAUAACAAUAUAGGGCUCUUUCGGGUCCUAUAAUUGGAAUGAGUACAAUUUAAAUCCCUUAACGAGGAUCAAUUGGAGGGCAAGUCUGGUGCCAGCAGCCGCGGUAAUUCCAGCUCCAAUAGCGUAUAUUAAAGUUGUUGCAGUUAAAAAGCUCGUAGUUGAACCUUCAGGCCUGGCCGGGCGGUCUGCCUAACGGUAUGUACUGUCUGGCCGGGUCUUACCUCUUGGUGAACCGGCGUGCUCUUUACUGGGCGCGUCGGCGAACCAGGACUUUUACCUUGAGAAAAUUAGAGUGUUCAAAGCAGGCUUACGCCCGAAUACAUUAGCAUGGAAUAAUAAAAUAGGACGUGCGGUCCUAUUUUGUUGGUUUCUAGGAUCGCCGUAAUGAUUAAUAGGGAUAGUUGGGGGCAUUGGU
rnacentral:rRNA from 1 species